rnacentral:rRNA from 1 species
UACGGGGGGGGCAAGCGUUGUUCGGAAUUACUGGGCGUAAAGCGCACGUAGGCGGCUUGGUAUGUCGGGUGUGAAAUCCCCGGGCUCAACCUGGGAACUGCAUCCGAAACUGCCUUGCUCGAGUAUGGGAGAGGGAAGUGGAAUUUCCGGUGUAGCGGUGAAAUGCGUAGAUAUCGGAAGGAACAUCAGUGGCGAAGGCGACUUCCUGGACCAAUACUGACGCUCAGGCGCGAAAGCGUGGGGAGCAAACAGG